rnacentral:rRNA from 1 species
GUGGGGAAUAUUGGACAAUGGGCGAAAGCCUGAUCCAGCCAUGCCGCGUGUGUGAAGAAGGUCUUCGGAUUGUAAAGCACUUUAAGUUGGGAGGAAGGGCAGUAAGUUAAUACCUUGCUGUUUUGACGUUACCGACAGAAUAAGCACCGGCUAACUACGUGCCAGCAGCCGCGGUAAUACGUAGGGUGCAAGCGUUAAUCGGAAUUACUGGGCGUAAAGCGCGCGUAGGUGGUUCAGUAAGUUGGAAGUGAAAUCCCCGGGCUCAACCUGGGAACUGCUUUUAAAACUGCUGAGCUAGAGUACGGUAGAGGGUGGUGGAAGUUCCUGUGUAGCGGUGAAAUGCGUAGAUAUAGGAAGGAACACCAGUGGCGAAGGCGACCACCUGGACUGAUACUGACACUGAGGUGCGAAAGCGUGGGGAGCAAACAGGAUUAGAAACCCCUGUAGUCC